ACAUGCAAGUCGAACGGUAACAGGAAGCAGCUUGCUGCUUCGCUGACGAGUGGCGGACGGGUGAGUAAUGUCUGGGAAACUGCCUGAUGGAGGGGGAUAACUACUGGAAACGGUAGCUAAUACCGCAUAACGUCGCAAGACCAAAGAGGGGGACCUUCGGGCCUCUUGCCAUCGGAUGUGCCCAGAUGGGAUUAGCUAGUAGGUGGGGUAACGGCUCACCUAGGCGACGAUCCCUAGCUGGUCUGAGAGGAUGACCAGCCACACUGGAACUGAGACACGGUCCAGACUCCUACGGGAGGCAGCAGUGGGGAAUAUUGCACAAUGGGCGCAAGCCUGAUGCAGCCAUGCCGCGUGUAUGAAGAAGGCCUUCGGGUUGUAAAGUACUUUCAGCGGGGAGGAAGGGAGUAAAGUUAAUACCUUUGCUCAUUGACGUUACCCGCAGAAGAAGCACCGGCUAACUCCGUGCCACCAGCCGCGGUAAUACGGAGGGUGCAAGCGUUAAUCGGAAUUACUGGGCGUAAAGCGCACGCAGGCGGUUUGUUAAGUCAGAUGUGAAAUCCCCGGGCUCAACCUGGGAACUGCAUCUGAUACUGGCAAGCUUGAGUCUCGUAGAGGGGGGUAGAAUUCCAGGUGUAGCGGUGAAAUGCGUAGAGAUCUGGAGGAAUACCGGUGGCGAAGGCGGCCCCCUGG
rnacentral:rRNA from 1 species